rnacentral:rRNA from 1 species
AUAUGCCUACAACAUAGCAUUAAUGCAUUAGAUCCCAUUAUAACUCUGCAGUUAAGCAUGCUCAGGUUAGAGUAGUACUAGGAUGGGUGACCACCUGGGAAUUCUUAGUGUUUUACAUGCC